GAUCCUAACUCAGGAUGAACGCUAGCUACAGGCUUAACACAUGCAAGUCGAGGGGCAGCAUGGUCUUAGCUUGCUAAGGCCGAUGGCGACCGGCGCACGGGUGAGUAACACGUAUCCAACCUGCCGUCUACUCUUGGACAGCCUUCUGAAAGGAAGAUUAAUACAAGAUGGCAUCAUGAGUCCGCAUGUUCACAUGAUUAAAGGUAUUCCGGUAGACGAUGGGGAUGCG
rnacentral:rRNA from 1 species